CCCUUAGACGCUCUAGGCGGCACGCGCGCUACAAUGGGUGGUAGAACGUGCAACUGCUCCCGAAAGGGAGGGUGAACCACGAAUACUUACCCGUGAAUGGGAUAGUUUGUUGCAAUUUUCGGACUUGAACUAGGAAUCCCUUGUAAGAAUGCUCAAGAAUAGCGUGCUGAAUACGUCCCUGCCGUUUGUACACACCGCCCGUCGUUUCUUCCGACUGAUACUCAUUGUGAGUUGCAAGGAUUCUUAUUGAAAAAUUGCUGCGAAUGCUUUGUAUUGGAGGAAGAAAAAGUCGUAACA
rnacentral:rRNA from 1 species